rnacentral:rRNA from 1 species
UAGGGAAUCUUCGGCAAUGGGGGGAACCCUGACCGAGCAACGCCGCGUGAGUGAAGAAGGUUUUCGGAUCGUAAAGCUCUGUUGUUAAGGAAGAACGAGUGUGAGAAUGGAAAGCUCAUGCUGUGACGGUACUUAACCAGAAAGGGACGGCUAACUACGUGCCAGCAGCCGCGGUAAUACGUAGGUCCCGAGCGUUGUCCGGAUUUAUUGGGCGUAAAGCGAGCGCAGGCGGUUAGAAAAGUCUGAAGUGAAAGGCAGUGGCUCAACCAUUGUAGGCUUUGGAAACUGUUUAACUUGAGUGCAGAAGGGGAGAGUGGAAUUCCAUGUGUAGCGGUGAAAUGCGUAGAUAUAUGGAGGAACACCAGUGGCGAAGGCGACUCUCUGGUCUGUAACUGACGCUGAGGCUCGAAAGCGUGGGUAGCAAACAGG